UACGGAGGGUCCAAGCGUUGUCCGGAAUCACUGGGUGUAAAGGGUGCGCAGGCGGGCUUAUAAGUCAGGGGUGAAAGCCACCGGCCUAACCGGUGAACUGCCCUUGAUACUGUAAGUCUUGAGUCCUGGAGAGGCUGUCGGAAUUCGUGGUGUAGCGGUGAAAUGCGUAGAUAUCACGAGGAACACCGGAUGCGUAAGCGGACAGCUGGACAGGUACUGACGCUCAGGCACGAAAGCGUGGGGAGCGAACAGG
rnacentral:rRNA from 1 species